CACUCUAGUAUCUUGCCAAGAAAACCCCAAAAGGGGUCCCAAAGACUGAACAACAACAGUAACAAAGAAGAACAGGAGUAAAGGACAUCAUCAAGGAAUCCAACAACAGGAAAAGUUGAUGGACUGGUCAUAAGGCAAGAGCAAAUUAUGACAAGUGGAUAGCCAGAAUGUUUCAUGGGCACUUGCCUGAUAUUAAGAGAAAAUGAGAAAGUCUCUGGCACAUUGAGUGGAUACUCUGUGGUGAAAAAGCAUGUGGACAAGAGUUGCAUGGAAUAAUCAGGCAUAGAUAGAUUAUGAUGUGUAUUGUUGAAGAACACUUCUGAAUAAAUGAUAUCACCCCGCCAUUUUGAGUUUGUGGCCAAACAAAGGAAUUUCAAGGGCCCUACAUUACUAACAGAGAACCUGUUCAAUUAUACACGGUUGUCUGGACAUACCUCCUGAGAAUGAGAAUGUCAACCAAAAAGCAGGGAAAGAGCUCAAAGUACAAGGUCUAAAAUAAGAAGAAUCGAGUGAAUUACUUUGACGAAUAAAAUGGACAUCUUUGAAGGAUCCAGGAAUCCAGUUCAUUGAAGUUCCCCUCACCCAAGCUCCCCCUGGCCCUGAGAAUGAGCCCUCUGGGGAGACUCCAUGAAGAGAGCUUGACGGGGAGGCAUAUUCAGUGACCCCCAACAGAAGCCAGUAAAACC